GUGCCCGCUUCGGCAGCACAUAUGCUAAAAGAUUAGCAUGGCCCCUGUGCAAGGAUGACACGCAAAUUCGUGAAGCGUUCCAUAGUUUU
rnacentral:snRNA from 1 species